rnacentral:rRNA from 1 species
UCCAACUUGAGAGUUUGAUCCUGGCUCAGAGCGAACGCUGGCGGCAGGCCUAACACAUGCAAGUCGAGCGCCCCUCCUUCAGAGGACAGAGGACGAACGACAGAUGACGGAUUGAUCGAGCUUGGAGCUUUACAGCUUUGGGCCGGCCCAUCUGUCGCUGAUCGGUCGAGACGGACCAUUCGUUGUCCGUUGUCUGAUCUCUGUUUUGUGAUGGAGGGGAGCGGCAGACGGGAGAGUAACACGUGGGAACGUACCCUUUGGUUCGGAACAACCCAGGGAAACUUGGGCUAAUACCGGAUAAGCCCUUACGGGGAAAGAUUUAUCGCCGAAGGAUCGGCCCGCGUCUGAUUAGCUAGUUGGUGGGGUAAUGGCCCACCAAGGCGACGAUCAGUAGCUGGUCUGAGAGGAUGAUCAGCCUCACUGGGACUGAGACACGGCCCAGACUCCUACGGGAGGCAGCAGUGGGGAAUAUUGGACAAUGGGCGCAAGCCUGAUCCAGCCAUGCCGCGUGGGUGAUGAAGGCCCUAGGGUUGUAAAGCCCUUUCGGCGGGGAAGA